rnacentral:lncRNA from 1 species
CGGGCAGCUUGCAGCACCCUCGCGGAGGGCUGGGCAGGGUGGUGGAGCUGACCUCUGUCUCUACAGGGCCCCCCUGGACUGGUCAAUGGGGCAGCGCCGCAAGGGGAGCCCGGCACCCCGGUGAGUCUGGCCCCAGGGGCAGUGGGGAGGAGACAGGGGGAGCAGGACCAUGUGUGUCCCCUGGGGCUGGGCUGUGUCCCUCACCAAGCUGCUCUCUUGCAGGGUCUGCCUGGGGACCCUGGGCCCCGGGGUCCUGCCGGCCCCCCCGGACCAAAAGGAGACAAGGGUGACAGUGAGGAAGGUUUCCCAGGGCCACCCGGCCGCCCAGGGGACCCGGGGGAUCGGGUGAGUUCCCUGAGACGAGGUAAGGCCGGCUGGGACCAGCACACUCGGCAAAGAGACUGUGGGAUUGCUCCC